rnacentral:lncRNA from 1 species
CCUAGUUCCUCCAGCUAGGCCCCAUCACCUAAAAUUUCUGCCAUCCCAUGCCCGUGCAAUUAUGACUCCAUAAAUGGAUUAAUCUAUUUAUGAAGUCAAAGCCCUCAUGAUCCAAUCACCUCUAGUGGGUCCCAUCUCUGGGCACUGUACCUUUAGGAAUCAACACCUCAACACAUGAGCUUUUGAGGAACAAUCAAAAUCCAAACCUUAAUAGAGGUUAAUGCUCAAGAGAGGAUUUUGUUGUGACCUCAUAGAAAUGUGCCUAGUGUGGGCGUAUACCUUCCUGUCCAGCUCAUCUUCAAAGUUGGGCUGACAGGAAAUGAAAGGUCUUCCUCUUGCAAUACAUCCUCUGAAGCACAUGAACCCUAAGUUACCAUGGCAGAGGGUCAGACUGGAAAGUGGCUCCUGUCACCUCUACUUACAUCCCU